GACGAACGCUGGCGGCGUGCUUAACACAUGCAAGUCGAACGGAAAGGCCCAGCUUGCUGGGUACUCGAGUGGCGAACGGGUGAGUAACACGUGGGUGAUCUGCCCUGCACUCUGGGAUAAGCCUGGGAAACUGGGUCUAAUACCGGAUAUGACCAACUGUCGCAUGGUGGUUGGUGGAAAGCUUUUGCGGUGUGGGAUGGGCCCGCGGCCUAUCAGCUUGUUGGUGGGGUAAUGGCCUACCAAGGCGACGACGGGUAGCCGACCUGAGAGGGUGAUCGGCCACACUGGGACUGAGACACGGCCCAGACUCCUACGGGAGGCAGCAGUGGGGAAUAUUGCACAAUGGGCGCAAGCCUGAUGCAGCGACGCCGCGUGAGGGAUGACGGCCUUCGGGUUGUAAACCUCUUUCACCAGGGACGAAGCGUGAGUGACGGUACCUGGAGAAGAAGCACCGGCCAACUACGUGCCAGCAGCCGCGGUAAUACGUAGGGUGCGAGCGUUGUCCGGAAUUACUGGGCGUAAAGAGCUCGUAGGCGGUUUGUCGCGUCGUCUGUGAAAUUCUGCAACUCAAUUGCAGGCGUGCAGGCGAUACGGGCAGACUUGAGUACUACAGGGGAGACUGGAAUUCCUGGUGUAGCGGUGAAAUGCGCAGAUAUCAGGAGGAACACCGGUGGCGAAAGCGGGUCUCUGGGUAGUAACUGACGCUGAGGAGCGAAAGCGUGGGUAGCGAACAGGAUUAGAUACCCUGGUAGUCCACGCCGUAAACGUGGGUACUAAGUGUGGGUUCCUUUUCACGGGAUCCGNGCCNUACUUAACGCAUUAAGUACCCCNCCUGGGGAAUACCGGCCNCAAGGCUNAAACUCAAANGGAAUUGACCGGGGGCCCCGACAAACGGNGGANCAUGUGGAUUAAUUCNAUGCAAC
rnacentral:rRNA from 1 species